rnacentral:rRNA from 1 species
AACGAACGCUGGCGGCGUGCCUAACACAUGCAAGUCGUGCGAGAAAGUUCCUUCGGGAGCGAGUAAAGCGGCGCACGGGUGAGUAACACGUAGGUAACCUGCCCCCCAGUCUGGAACAACUAGAGGAAACUCUAGCUAAUGCCGGAUAAGACCACGGCCCCCUCGGGGGCUGCGGCCAAAGAUGGCCUCUACUUGUACGCUAUCGCUGAGGGAUGGGCCUGCGGGCCAUUAGCUUGUUGGUGAGGUAACGGCUCACCAAGGCUGUGAUGGCUAGCUGGUCUGAGAGGAUGACCAGCCACACUGGGACUGAGACACGGCCCAGACUCCUACGGGAGGCAGCAGUGGGGAAUAUUGCGCAAUGGGCGAAAGCCUGACGCAGCGACGCCGCGUGGGUGAUGAAGGCCU